GAUCCUGGCUCAGAGCGAACGCUGGCGGCAGGCUUAACACAUGCAAGUCGAGCGGGCCCUUCGGGGUCAGCGGCGGACGGGUGAGUAACGCGUGGGAACGUGCCUUCUGGUUCGGAAUAACCCUGGGAAACUAGGGCUAAUACCGGAUACGCCCUUUUGGGGAAAGGUUUACUGCCGGAAGAUCGGCCCGCGUCUGAUUAGCUAGUUGGUGGGGUAACGGCCUACCAAGGCGACGAUCAGUAGCUGGUCUGAGAGGAUGAUCAG
rnacentral:rRNA from 1 species